AUGCCCCCCUUCGAAGAAGAGGGGGUAUAUUGCUUUGCUCAUGUCGGUCUGUCGGUCGGUCUGUCGGUCCGUCCACCAGGUGGUUGUCAGACGAUAACUCAAGAACGCUUGGGCCUAGGAUCAUGAAACUUCAUAGGUACAUUGAUCAUGACUUGCAGAUGACCCCUAUUGAUUUUGAGGUCACUAGGUCAAAGGUCAAGGUCACGGUGACCCGAAAUAGUAAAAUGGUUUCCGGAUGAUAACUCAAGAACGCAUACGCCUAGGAUCAUGAAACUUCAUGGGUAGAUUGAUCAUGACUCGCAGAUGACCCCUAUUGAUUUUGAGGUCACUAGGUCAAAGGUCAAGGUCACGGUGACCCGAAAUAGUAAAAUGGUUUCCGGAUGAUAACUCAAGAACGCAUACGCCUAGGAUCAUGAAACUUCAUGGGUAGAUUGAUCAUGACUCGCAGAUGACCCCUAUUGAUUUUGAGGUCACUAGGUCAAAGGUCAAGGUCACGGUGACCCGAAAUAGUAAAAUGAUUUUCGGAUGAUAACUCAAGAACGCAUACGCCUAGGAUCAUGAAACUUCAUGGGUAGAUUGAUCAUGACUCGCAGAUGACCCCUAUUGAUUUUGAGGUCACUAGGUCAACGGUCAAGGUCACGGUGACCCGAAAUAGUAAAAUUAUUUUCAGAUGAUAAUUCAAGAACGCAUAUGCCUAGGAUCAUGAAACUUUAUAGGUAGAUUAAUCAUGACUCGCAGAUGACCCCUAUUGAUUUUUAGGUCACUAGGUCAAAGGUCAAGGUCACGGUGACCCGAAAUAGUAAAAUGAUUUUCGGAUGAUAACUCAAGAACGCAUAUGCCUAGGAUCAUGAAACUUCAUAGGUAGAUUGAUCAUGACUCGCAGAUGACCCCUAUUGAUUUUGAGGUCACAAGGUCAAAGGUCAAUGUCACGGUGACCCGAAAUAGUAAAAUGAUUUUCGGAUGAUAACUCAAGAAGGCUUUUGCCUAGGAUCAUGACACUUCAUAGGUACAUUGAUCGUGACUUGCAGAUGACCCCUAUUGAUUUUCAGGUCACUAGGUCAAAGGUCAAGGUCACAGUGACAAAAGUCGUAUUCACACAAUGGCUGCCAGUACAACGGACAGCCCAUAUGGGGGGCAUGCAUGUUUUACAAACAGCCCUUGUUUUU